rnacentral:rRNA from 1 species
CUACGGGUUGCUCCAGUGGGAAUAUUGCACAAUGGGCGCAAGCCUGAUGCAGCCAUGCCGCGUGUAUGAAGAAGGCCUUCGGGUUGUAAAGUACUUUCAGCGGGGAGGAAGGGAGUAAAGUUAAUACCUUUGCUCAUUGACGUUACCCGCAGAAGAAGCACCGGCUAACUCCGUGCCAGCAGCCGCGGUAAUACGGAGGGUGCAAGCGUUAAUCGGAAUUACUGGGCGUAAAGCGCACGCAGGCGGUUUGUUAAGUCAGAUGUGAAAUCCCCGGGCUCAACCUGGGAACUGCAUCUGAUACUGGCAAGCUUGAGUCUCGUAGAGGGGGGUAGAAUUCCAGGUGUAGCGGUGAAAUGCGUAGAGAUCUGGAGGAAUACCGGUGGCGAAGGCGGCCCCCUGGACGAAGACUGACGCUCAGGUGCGAAAGCGUGGGGAGCAAACAGGAUUAGAACCCCUGUAGUC